CCUACGGGAGGCUGCAGUGGGGGAUAUUGGACAAUGGGGGAAACCCUGAUCCAGCGACGCCGCGUGAGUGAAGAAGUAUUUCGGUAUGUAAAGCUCUAUCAGCAGGGCAGCAAGAAAUGACGGUACCUGAGUAAGAAGCCCCGGCUAACUACGUGCCAGCAGCCGCGGUAAUACGUAGGGGGCAAGCGUUAUCCGGAUUCAUUGGGUUUAAAGGGUGCGCAGGCGGGCCUUUAAGCCGGCGGUGAAUUCGCGGGGCUCAACCCCGCCGAGCCGUCGGAACUGGGGGCCUUGAGUGCGGCGGAGGCAUGCGGAAUGCGCGGUGUAGCGGUGAAAUGCAUAGAUAUCGCGCAGAACCCCGAUUGCGAAGGCAGCGUGCCGUGCCGCCACUGACGCUGAGGCACGAAAGCGCGGGGAUCGAACAGGAUUAGAUACCCUAGUAGUC
rnacentral:rRNA from 1 species